GGAGCAGGACAGACGAUCGCUGCCGCUGCACGGCGGUGGAGGAAAGUCCGGGCUCCGCAGGGCAAGGCGCUGGAUAACGUCCAGCGGGGGCGACCCCAGGGAAAGUGCCACAGAGAGAAGUCCGCCUGUCACGACAGGUAAGGGUGAAAGGGUGAGGUAAGAGCUCACCGGGUUCGGCGGUGACGUCGAAUGCCAGGUAAACCCCGCCAGGAGCAAGAUCGAAUAGGGAGACGUCAAGGGUGGCCCGCCCGUGUCUCCGGGUUGAUCGCUCGAGGUCGUCGGUAACGGCGAUCCCAGAUGAAUGAUCGUCACCCGCUGACGGGUAACCGUCCGCGGGAACAGAACCCGGCUUACGGACUGCUCCAGCC
rnacentral:RNase_P_RNA from 1 species